CCUGUCCCUAACCUUUGCUUUCAAACUCUUAAUUCCCAUACUCUGUAUUCCCGUAUAAAGCAAAGUUGUUAUGUCCACAUCACAGACAGUGUAACAGGCUCAAUGAGUGGAAGAAAUGCCCAAACCUAUCUCCCAGGUUCUGAGGGCCAUCUCCUUCUGAAGCUGUUGAUAAAACAGGGUGCUUCUAAGAGAGCCUCUGCCUUUAGCUUCUCAGGUGUCCUCAAACCCUCCACCUUCAGGAAGCUGUGUCCAGACCUGCUCUGCACUGUGUUAUUUAUUUGUUCACCCCAAACUCUGAUGGGGGAAAGGUCCAUUAGCUGGGUGGCCUUCACUCUGUGAGCCUGGGGUACUUAUAGAGGUCACUAUUGCUAUAAAAGGAAUUGAGGAAUUUCACUCAGAUAAAACGCGGCGGCAGGGUGGGAGGCUGUUGUUCACUGGCCUUUUAAAGGCCACUUUCAGAGCCUCCAGCAAGUGGCUGUGUUGCGGUCACAGAUGCUCAUCUGCAACCACAGAGCCCCCUACUGUUCCGGUGUAGUGCAGGAGGUGCCCACAUGGGAUUUGUGGGUUGGACAACCUCUCCGUCCCUGUGAAGUUGUGCCUUGGAAAAUGUUGCCCCCUUCAUGAUGACAUAGAAACAAACCACACAGAAAAGAACUGGGAUCAAAGAAUUUCUCGGAGAUCCAGAGUUCCAAAUUAGUGUGUUAAACAACUGAACUUAAAAUAUGGACGUGUAGGAAAAUGUAGCUGGACGUGGUAACUCAGAUCUCUAACCCAAGCACUAGGGAGGCUGAAGCAGAAGGACUGACCCAAGUUCAAGACCAGCCUAGCCUACAUGAAGCCUUGUCUCAAAAUAAUCAAUCCUGAAAGUCUUCUUGUUCAUAUGACAUUCAAAACAAAACCAAAAAAACUGACCAAGAGUUGUGGUGAUGGUUCACUGUGUGAGCUGACUGCCAUCCAAGCAUGAGGACCUGAGUUUGGAUUUCCAGAGCCCAUGUGAAAAGAUAUCUAUUUGGCAGUAUCUAUUAUAGCUGAGCCUGCCUCCAUGAUGCAGAAGUUACACUGGCCAUGUACACGAUCAUUCUGUUUCAAGUCAUGCUGGCAGAACAGACGGCGUGGAGUGAGGAGAGUGGCAUCGGGUGGUGGCCACCUGGGCAUGAUAUGGGAGGGCUUAUGGGAGCUGGGAAAUUUGUUGCCUUUUAAAGAAAUCUCAGAACCACACAUUGUACUCUCCCUUAAACUGUGCUGUCUGUGCUGAAUUUCACAGUGAAAAUAUUCUAAGAGCAAAGACUCUCCUGGCAAGGAGAGACAACUGCCAGAGAGGUG
rnacentral:lncRNA from 1 species